rnacentral:rRNA from 1 species
GAUGAACGCUGGCGGCGUGCCUAACACAUGCAAGUCGAACGAACUUAACCUUUAGUUUACUAAUGGAGCGGUUAGUGGCGGACUGGUGAGUAACACGUAAGCAACCUGCCUAUCAGAGGGGAACAACAGUUAGAAAUGACUGCUAAUACCGCAUAUGCCUUGAAUAUCACAUGAUAUAAAAGGGAAGGAGCAAUCCGCUGAUAGAUGGGCUUGCGUCUGAUUAGAUAGUUGGUGAGGUAACGGCUCACCAAGUCGACGAUCGGUAGCCGGACUGAGAGGUUGAACGGCCACAUUGGGACUGAGACACGGCCCAGACUCCUACGGGAGGCAGCAGUGGGGGAUAUUGCACAAUGGAGGAAACUCUGAUGCAGCAACGCCGCGUGAGGGAAGAAGGUUUUCGGAUUGUAAACCUCUGUUUUUAAGUGAAGAAACAAAUGACGGUAGCUAAAGAGGAAGCCACGGCUAACUACGUGCCAGCAGCCG